rnacentral:rRNA from 1 species
GACGAACGCUGGCGGCGUGCCUAAUACAUGCAAGUCGAGCGAAUCAAUGGGAGCUUGCUCCCUGAGAUUAGCGGCGGACGGGUGAGUAACACGUGGGUAACCCGCCUGUAAGACUGGGAUAACUUCGGGAAACCGGAGCUAUUACCGGAUACGUUCUUUUCUCGCAUGAGAAGAGAUGGAAAGAUGGUUUCGGCUAUCACUUACAGAUGGACCCGCGGCGCAUUAGCUAGUUGGUGAGGUAACGACUCACCAAGGCGACGAUGCGUAGCCGACCUGAGAGGGUGAUCGGCCACACUGGGACGGAGACAGGGCACAGACGCCUACGGGAGGCAGCAGUAGGGAAUCUUCCGCAAUGGACGAAAGUCUGACGGAGCAACGCCGCGUGAGCGAAGAAGGCCUUCGGGUCGUAAAGCUCUGUUGUUAGGGAAGAACAAGUACAAGAGUAACUGCUUGUACCUUGACGGUACCUAACCAGAAAGCCACGGCUAACUACGUGCCAGCAGCCGCCGUAA